UCCUCGCUCUCUUCUCUCUCUCUCCCUUGCUCGCUCACGCUCCCUCCGCUCCGCGCUCGGGGAGCUGCUGCUGGGCCGGAGAACAAGGAGCGCGCGCGGGCGGGCGGGCGGGCGGCCCGAGGCUCCUGGGUCUGGUCCUUGCGGGCGUCCGCCAGGGACCAUGCAGCUGCGGGAGCAUCACCACCAGCAGAAGCAGCAGCAGCAGCAGCAGCACCAGCAGCACCAGCAGCAGCAACAGCAGCAGCAGGCACAGCAGAGGCGGGGGCUCCUCGGCGCCUAGGCGGCCCCAGCCGCGCUCUCUCCCGGAGAAGGAGCCUUGGUCACUGGGGCUGGCCACCGGGCGGCCGUCCAGCAGAGCUUCGCCGGCCAGAGCUUCCGUGAAGGAAGGAAAAGGAAGAGGAAGCGGAGGAGAAGGACGGCGAGCGGAGGAGCAGUCAGGUAGCAGCCCCAGCAGCAGCCCAGGCCCCAGCUCCAGCCCUUGCGGCAGCGGCCGAGCGCGCUGCCCGUCCGGGAGGGACGGCCAAGCGGGCUCACCAGGCGGAGAAGCCGGGCGCCCCCCGCCCCGCAGACGGGUCCCCACCACCGCCCUCGUCCCAGCCCUCGCCCCGCAGCCUUGCCGGCCAGCGAUGACAUCAACAGGGAAAGAAGGCAGCGGGGCGCAGCACGCGCAGUAUGUGGGACCCUACCGCCUGGAGAAGACGUUGGGCAAAGGACAGACAGGGCUUGUGAAGUUGGGGGUUCACUGUGUCACAUGCCAAAAGGUCGCGAUUAAAAUUGUCAACCGAGAGAAGCUCAGUGAGUCAGUGCUGAUGAAGGUGGAGCGGGAGAUCGCCAUCCUGAAGCUCAUAGAACACCCACAUGUUUUAAAGCUGCACGACGUUUAUGAAAAUAAAAAAUAUUUAUACUUGGUGCUAGAACAUGUAUCGGGUGGUGAGCUCUUCGACUAUCUUGUGAAGAAGGGGAGGCUGACGCCCAAGGAAGCCCGCAAGUUCUUCCGACAAAUCAUCUCUGCUCUUGACUUCUGCCACAGCCACUCAAUAUGCCACAGGGACUUGAAACCCGAAAACCUUCUGCUGGACGAGAGGAACAACAUCAGAAUAGCUGACUUCGGGAUGGCGUCACUGCAGGUUGGGGACAGCUUAUUAGAAACCAGCUGCGGGUCACCGCAUUACGCCUGCCCCGAAGUGAUCCGGGGUGAGAAAUACGAUGGGAGAAAAGCGGACGUGUGGAGCUGUGGGGUCAUUCUAUUCGCCUUGUUGGUGGGGGCUUUGCCUUUCGACGAUGACAACCUCCGGCAGCUCCUGGAGAAGGUGAAGCGAGGGGUGUUCCACAUGCCGCACUUCAUCCCGCCAGACUGUCAGAACCUGCUGCGGGGCAUGAUUGAAGUUGAUGCCUCUAAGAGGUUGACGCUAGAACACAUUCAGAAACACAUAUGGUAUAUAGGGGGCAAGAAUGAGCCAGAGCCAGAGCAGCCCAUCCCUCGAAAGGUGCAGAUCCGAUCCCUUCCAUCCCUGGAGGACAUCGACCCCGACGUACUGGACAGCAUGCACUCUCUAGGCUGCUUCCGAGACAGAAAUAAACUCUUACAGGACCUCUUGUCAGAAGAGGAAAAUCAAGAAAAAAUGAUCUAUUUUCUCCUUCUUGACCGGAAAGAAAGGUAUCCCAGUCAUGAGGAUGAAGACCUCCCCCCUCGGAAUGAAAUAGACCCCCCCAGGAAGCGGGUGGACUCCCCAAUGUUGAAUAGACAUGGCAAGCGGAGGCCUGAGAGGAAGUCCAUGGAGGUCCUCAGUGUGACGGAUGGCGGCUCCCCGGUCCCUGCCCGCCGAGCCAUUGAGAUGGCCCAGCAUGGCCAAAGUAAAGCCCUGUUCAGUAAAAGCCUGGAUAUCUCUGAAGCCCAUCCCAAAUUCAGCAAAGAAGACAGGAUGGCCAGUGCAUUGGGGUCCCGGUCAAUCAGCGGUGCAUCAUCGGGUCUUUCCACCAGCCCUCUUAGCAGUCCAAGGGUGACCCCUCACCCCUCUCCGAGGGGCAGCCCCCUCCCCACCCCCAAGGGAACGCCCGUCCACACGCCAAAGGAGAGCCCGGCGGGCACGCCCAACCCCACCCCACCGUCCAGCCCCAGCAUCGGAGGGAUGCCCUGGAGGACACGGCUCAAUUCCAUCAAAAACAGCUUCCUGGGGUCUCCUCGAUUCCACAGGCGGAAACUGCAGGUACCUACACCGGAGGAGAUGUCCAACCUGACCCCAGAAUCAUCCCCAGAGCUCGCCAAAAAGUCUUGGUUUGGUAACUUUAUCAACCUGGAGAAAGAAGAGCAAAUCUUUGUGGUCAUCAAAGACAAGCCGCUGAGCUCCAUCAAAGCUGAUAUUGUGCAUGCCUUCCUCUCGAUCCCCAGUCUCAGCCACAGUGUCGUCUCUCAGACGAGCUUCCGCGCAGAGUACAAGUCAACAGGUGGACCGGCUGUCUUCCAGAAACCCGUCAAGUUCCAGGUGGACAUCACCUACACGGAAGGUGGAGAGGCGCAGAAGGAGAAUGGCAUCUACUCAGUCACGUUCACACUUUUGUCAGGUCCAAGCCGUCGCUUUAAGAGGGUGGUGGAGACCAUUCAGGCCCAGUUGUUAAGCACACAUGACCAGCCAUCUGUCCAGCAAUUAUCAGAAACCCCCCAUUCAGCUCCAGGACUAAGCUGGGGAGCUGUGUUUAAGGGCCAGAAGGUGGCCACCAGCUACGAGAGUAGCCUCUGAGACUGUAGCAGACACCACUAACUGUAUGGAAUUGAUGACGGGGAGGCUUUCCAAAUGUGGAAUUAUCCCGAAAAGUUAACAUGUCACCACCGCCACCUGCCGCCCGACACCUUCUGUGCUUGGAGGACUCUUAUGGAUGGAAGGCAGCUGCUUCGGAUCCAGUCCCUUCUCCUCCUGAUCCUCCCUGGGUCCCCCCUCCUGCCUCGAGCCACGGCCUGUGGGGCUGGUGGAGCUCAGCUCAGUGAGGCCCACUGAAGGACCCCAACACCUCUUCUCUAGGGAGGGAUCAGCACAGCCACCGGUCUCCCGCCUGCCUGCCUGAGGAUAGCUAUGGGUGGCCUCUAGAUGCCGGGAGGUCAGCCCUACGCCAGCAGUGGGGCAGCCCCACCCCUCACCUGAGGGUGGAAGCCAACACCCCCAAGGAGCAGCGUUAGUGAUACCUCGGUCACCCCAAGGCCCUUGUCCUUUCCUCUCUGUUCUUCUGUCCUGUCUCCACUUGCAUCUCCACCAGCCUCUCCGUCUCCCCAUCUCUGCCUUCCUCUCUCUCUCAGUCUCUCUUCUUUCUUUGCAUUGUUUUUCGGUUCAUUGGUUUCACUGGGGGGCCUUGAGGUUGUAUUGGCUUCAGAGAGACCAUCCUGGCCGCUGUGGAGGGAAAGGGGGAAGCGCGAGGCACCAGAGCAAGGACAGCGGCUGCACCCCGAGCCCAGGCUGGCCUGGCCCAGAACGUCCUGGAGCGGAGGAGCCAGAAGCGGGGCGUGUCGUGCCGCCCAGCUGGACUGUCCCCCUGCCCCGGCCCCGCCCCGCCCCACCCCCAGCCUUCUGCUCCCCAGGGGAGGGAGAGAGCCCGCUUGGAGGCUGCUGGUGCUGUACUGAGAUCAGUAUUAAUCCCUUGCUGUUUUCAUUUACGUGAUUUCUUUGGUUCUCUCUUCAGGGAAGAGGCAGUGUUCUCAGUCUGUCUGCUUGUCUGUCUUGGUGUCUGUCUGUACGGGGUUUGGCCGCGGGUCGAGGCCUGGGCUGCUGGGGGCUCCGCAGACAAUGGCUCUCAGCAGAUCAGAGUGGAGGCAGGGCCAGGGCAACACAAAGCUACUGUAAACUUUAAAAGAAUUCCUGCAAGAUAUUUUUAUAAACCUUUUUUCCUUGGUUGUUUUUGGAAAAGGGUUGGGGGCGGGGCGGGGCCUGGCGCUGUGGGGCGGGGCGGGGUGGGCUGGACUUUGUGUUUCCGUUAUUAGCUCUUGGUUAUUUCUACACACACACACACACACACACACACACACACACACACACACACACACACACACACACACACACACACACACACACAAAAUAAAAAACGACGCCAUUAGAGAGCUCUUCUGUUUUCGUACCGUGGAGAGGGAACACCAAGUCCUAUUUCUUUGGGGGUGGGGCAGCCCGGGGGCAGUUUCCCUCGCGGUGGAACGUGGCUCCGCUCUGCGUGGCCUGGAAGCCCGGGCCAAGAGUGACUUUAUCUGGGCCCAGGCCAGGCUGGCCAGGGAAGGGCAAGACAUGAGCCGCUAGGAGCCACUAAGCCAGCGCUCAGAACUGUCCGCUUCAGCGCUUCAGGACAAAAACCAGAACCAAGUCACAACUCUUCUCUUCUAUUCUGCGUUCUCGGUACAUAAUGCCGAGGAGGGUGGGGCAGGGUGGGGCAGGCCUCUUGAUCCCCUCCCCAAUUUGGACUGGGUCCCCCUGCCCUCCUCUGCCCUGCCUCCUUGCCGUUGGCCUUUGCUUCCUACCUUGCGUCGCCGCUCCCAGACUCACGCUCAUAUUGCUCCGUGAGUGUCUAGCCUGGCUGCAGGUUACUGCUGAGGGCUGGGCUGGGAAGGGAAGGGCUGGGCAGGGCAUGGUGCUGAGGGCUGGUUGGCGGGCAGGCAGGUGGCCGAGGACAGGGGCAGUUGUUAAUUGCAUGCCUUUACUGUAAUUAGUCCAUUUUGCUUUUGAUGUCUUUCCUGCCUCCCCUCGAUGCCCUCCCCCCCUUCUGUAUAGGUUUAUGGCACCUCAACAAAAGGCUGGGAUUUCAAUACAGAGGAAGAGUCGGGCAAAGCCCAAAGGCAGUACAAGCAGGGCGGGGCUCCUUCAUACACAAAGACAUGAGGAUUACCAAAAGCAAUACCACUUGUUAGCCUUCCUUCCUUCCGAUUUUGUACUUGGAACACAAUGUAUAAACUCUCUCUCUCUCUCUCUCUCUCUCUCUCUCUCUCUCUCUCUCACACACACACACACACACACACACACACACACACACGCUGGAAAAUGGACAAAAUCUCCAUCUGAUGUAUUCCUUGUCAGAUAACUAACUGUGAGCAACUUCCGUUCAGAACCAAUAAAUUCAUUCAGUGAAGAUAUCA